AGAGCGAACGCUGGCGGCAGGCUUAACACAUGCAAGUCGAGCGCCGUAGCAAUACGGAGCGGCAGACGGGUGAGUAACACGUGGGAACGUACCUCUUGGUUCGGAACAACACAGGGAAACUUGUGCUAAUACCGGAUAAGCCCUUACGGGGAAUGAUUUAUCGCCGAGAGAUCGGCCCGCGUCUGAUUAGCUAGUUGGUGAGGUAACGGCUCACCAAGGCGACGAUCAGUAGUUGGUCUGAGAGGACGACCAGCCACACUGGGACUGAGACACGGCCCAGACUCCUACGGGAGGCAGCAGUGGGGAAUUUUGGGACAAUGGGCGCAAGCCUGAUCCAGCAAUGCCGCGUGAGUGAAGAAGGCCUUCGGGUUGUAAGCUCUUCAGUUGAGAAGAAAAGGCCG
rnacentral:rRNA from 1 species